rnacentral:rRNA from 1 species
GUUCUGGGCCGCACGCGCGCUACACUGACAGAGCCAGCGAGUCUACCACCUUUGCCGGAAGGCAUGGGUAAUCUUGUGAAACUCUGUCGUGAUGGGGAUAGAGCAUUGCAAUUAUUGCUCUUCAACGAGGAAUACCUAGUAAGCGUGAUUCAUCAGAUCGCGUUGAUUACGUCCCUGCCCUUUGUACACACCGCCCGUCGCUACUACCGAUUGAAUGGCUUAGUGAGGCCUCCGGAUUGGCUAUUGGGAGCUCGCGAGAGCACCCGACUGCCGAGAAGUUGUACGAACUUGGUCAUUUAGAGGAAGUAAAAGUCGUAACAAGGUUUCCGUAGGUGAACCUGCGGAAGGAUCAUUAGUGAAUAUUAGGGCGUCCAACUUAACUUGGAGCCCGAACUCUCACUUUCUAACCCUGUGCAUCUGUUUCUGGUCAGUAGCUCUCUCGGGAGUGAACGCCAUUCACUUAAAAACACAAAGUCUAUGAAUGUAUAAAAUUUAUAACAAAACAAAACUUUCAACAACGGAUCUCUUGGCUCUCGCAUCGAUGAAGAACGCAGCGAAAUGCGAUAAGUAAUGUGAAUUGCAGAAUUCAGUGAAUCAUCGAAUCUUUGAACGCACCUUGCGCUCUCUGGUAUUCCGGAGAGCAUGCCUGUUUGAGUGUCAUGAAAUCUUCAACCCUCUCUUUUCUUAGUGAAUCGAGAGGUGCUUGGAUCCUGAGCGCUGCUGGCUUCGGCCUAGCUCGUUCGUAAUGCAUUAGCAUCCGCAAUCGAACUUCGGAUUGACUUGGCGUAAUAAACUAUUCGCUGAGGAUUCUGGUCUCGUACCAAAACCGGGUUGGGUUUAAAGGAAGCUUCUAAUCCUUAAAAGUCUAACUUUUUGAUUAAGAUCUCAAAUCAGGGAGGGACUUCCCCCCUGAACUUAAGCAUAUCAAUUAGCGGGAGGAAAAGAAACUAACAGGGAUUCCCUAAUAACCGCCAACCAAACCGGGAAAACUCCAAAUUUUUAAACUGGGGCUUUUA